rnacentral:rRNA from 1 species
GACGAACGCUGGCGGCGUGCCUAAUACAUGCAAGUCGAACGCAGUGGGGACGGGUGAGUAACACGUGGGUAACCUCCCCAUCAGAGGGGAGAACACUUGGAAACAGGUGCUAAACCGAUACUGCUGGAUGGACCCUCAGUGCCAUAGCUAGUUGGUGAGGUAACGGCUCACCACGGCCACGAUGACUAGCCGAACUGAGAGGGUAAUCGGCAAUACGGGGACUGAGACACGGCCCUGCAUACGACGGGAGGCAGAAGGAGGGAAUCUUCGGCAAUGGCCGAAAGUCGGACCGAGCAACGCCGCGUGAGUGAAGAAGGUUUUCGGAUCAUAAAACUCUGUUGUUAGAGAAGCGGUAUCUAACCAGAAAGCCACGGCUAACUACGUGACAGCAGCCGCGGUAAUUA